AAGAUUUUAGGUUAAUAAAGACUGUUAAUUUUCAAAAUUAGAGGUGGUUUGUAUCAAAUUUUG
rnacentral:tRNA from 1 species